GAGCCGGACUGGAGCGCACCGUACACGCGAUCGAGGCCGAGCCGGAUCGACCCGAUUCCCUGGUCCACCCCGAGCACCCUGGAGACGCCACGCGCAAGCUAAACCCUAUGGGAACCCGACCGCAGCCUCCCCUCGUCCUCCUUCGACCACACGAAGCCGCUGGGGCGAUUUGGAUCUCGCACCGGAGCUCCGCUGUCCGCCGUCUUCGCCGGAGGAUUCCAUCGCCCAGGGGGCGAGGAACAAGCUCGACCGCCGCCGCCGGAGCCACCGCGUUCAGGUCUUCACGGCCGCUGGCACAGUCCGCCUCGCCGCCGUCCGACACCACCACCGCCUCUGCCAAUCACCGCCGCACCCAUCCUUCGCUUCGUAUUCGCCGGAGCAUCGUCGGAGGAGCGCCGCCGCCGACGCCCGAGGCAGCCGCCGCCAUCCUCUGUUUCUGGUGAGCACACGUGCCCAGCCAAUCACGUGCUGCCAUGUGGCAACCAGCUACAGUACACGCACGACUGUGCAGGAGUUUUCUGUUUUCUUUUGUUUUAUUUUCAGAUUUUAACUCUAACUUCAAUUAGCUAUAACUUCUAUUCUGUAUAUCCAAUUUAGGUAAUUCUUUUUCCUAUGAUCUCACAAACAUCAGCCCUUCAUGACAGUACCAACUUUGCA